GAAGAGUUUGAUCAUGGCUCAGAUUGAACGCUGGCGGCAGGCCUAACACAUGCAAGUCGAACGGUAACAGGAAGCAGCUUGCUGCUUUGCUGACGAGUGGCGGACGGGUGAGUAAUGUCUGGGAAACUGCCUGAUGGAGGGGGAUAACUACUGGAAACGGUGGCUAAUACCGCAUAACGUCGCAAGACCAAAGAGGGGGACCUUCGGGCCUCUUGCCAUCAGAUGUGCCCAGAUGGGAUUAGCUUGUUGGUGAGGUAACGGCUCACCAAGGCGACGAUCCCUAGCUGGUCUGAGAGGAUGACCAGCCACACUGGAACUGAGACACGGUCCAGACUCCUACGGGAGGCAGCAGUGGGGAAUAUUGCACAAUGGGCGCAAGCCUGAUGCAGCCAUGCCGCGUGUAUGAAGAAGGCCUUCGGGUUGUAAAGUACUUUCAGCGGGGAGGAAGGUGUUGUGGUUAAUAACCGCAGCAAUUGACGUUACCCGCAGAAGAAGCACCGGCUAACUCCGUGCCAGCAGCCGCGGUAAUACGGAGGGUGCAAGCGUUAAUCGGAAUUACUGGGCGUAAAGCGCACGCAGGCGGUCUGUCAAGUCGGAUGUGAAAUCCCCGGGCUCAACCUGGGAACUGCAUUCGAAACUGGCAGGCUUGAGUCUUGUAGAGGGGGGUAGAAUUCCAGGUGUAGCGGUGAAAUGCGUAGAGAUCUGGAGGAAUACCGGUGGCGAAGGCGGCCCCCUGGACAAAGACUGACGCUCAGGUGCGAAAGCGUGGGGAGCAAACAGGAUUAGAUACCCUGGUAGUCCACGCCGUAAACGAUGUCUACUUGGAGGUUGUGCCCUUGAGGCGUGGCUUCCGGAGCUAACGCGUUAAGUAGACCGCCUGGGGAGUACGGCCGCAAGGUUAAAACUCAAAUGAAUUGACGGGGGCCCGCACAAGCGGUGGAGCAUGUGGUUUAAUUCGAUGCAACGCGAAGAACCUUACCUGGUCUUGACAUCCACAGAACAUUCCAGAGAUGGAUUGGUGCCUUCGGGAACUGUGAGACAGGUGCUGCAUGGCUGUCGUCAGCUCGUGUUGUGAAAUGUUGGGUUAAGUCCCGCAACGAGCGCAACCCUUAUCCUUUGUUGCCAGCGGUCCGGCCGGGAACUCAAAGGAGACUGCCAGUGAUAAACUGGAGGAAGGUGGGGAUGACGUCAAGUCAUCAUGGCCCUUACGACCAGGGCUACACACGUGCUACAAUGGCGCAUACAAAGAGAAGCGACCUCGCGAGAGCAAGCGGACCUCAUAAAGUGCGUCGUAGUCCGGAUUGGAGUCUGCAACUCGACUCCAUGAAGUCGGAAUCGCUAGUAAUCGUGGAUCAGAAUGCCACGGUGAAUACGUUCCCGGGCCUUGUACACACCGCCCGUCACACCAUGGGAGUGGGUUGCAAAAGAAGUAGGUAGCUUAACCUUCGGGAGGGCGCUUACCACUUUGUGAUUCAUGACUGGGGUGAAGUCGUAACAAGGUAACCGUAGGGGAACCUGCGGUUGGA
rnacentral:rRNA from 1 species